rnacentral:rRNA from 1 species
GACGUAGGGGGCAAGCGUUGUUCGGAAUUAUUGGGCGUAAAGCGCUCGUAGGCGGGACUGGAAGUCCGUGUUGAAAGACCUCGGCUCAACUGAGGGACCGGCUCGGAUACUCUAGUUCUUGAGGCAAUCAGAGGGUGAUGGAAUUCCCGGUGUAGCGGUGAAAUUCGUAGAUAUUGGGAAGAACACCGGUGGCGAAGGCGGCUCACUGGCUCGUUACUGACGCUCAGGCACGACAGCGUGGGGAUCAAACAGG